CAAUACUUAAAUUUUAUUAUUUUUUUUCUCGAGUAAUACAAUCCAAAUGCGUCGACUGCUACAAGGCAAUGUUUGCCGCCGCAUGCCAAAAGAAAAAGACAUGAGUAUCUCCACACAAGUCCAGGCCAACAAGGUCAGUCCUGCUAUUGGACUCCAAUGGACCCAAGGAAACGAACCUCGAAGCCCAUAUCCCAAGUCCAUGACUACCGACAAGCACCAAUGCGCCUGGAUCCGAUGCCGGUGGGUACCCUUUCUUCGCGUCAUUCUGUCGAAUACCUAGUAUGCACCUAGAUCGAGUCUGAGGAGACGGAAAACGGUGCCAUCUGGAGCAAGAGAGGAAGGGAUUGCUCACUGUGAUAGACGGUGGAGACUAAGACGUGAUCAGAUUAUGGACAGCAAUCAUUUGCAAUGCCGCCAUCCAUGGGGCAACACAUUCAACCAACCAAAUCUAGGCAUCCACCAAUCACCAGCUCAGAAUCCAGAUUUGACGGCAACAGAAACAUCCGGUGGAAGAAGCCGAGCAUCGACUCACAUGCAAAAACCAAGCAGCAUCUCCAUCUUUUCAGAGUUGUGAGCUGAGCCCUUCAUGGCCAAAAUGUAGCCUCUCUCUUCCAUUAUUGUGCACUCUAUUUGAUUCACUGAACCCAUUCACGGUAACGAGUUAUCCCUUGGUUCUGUUGCAAAUUGAUUGAGAGAAGCAGAAGCAAUGUGACUCAAUUCAGUGACCACGCACUCCCAUGCAUGAAUGAAAGGCCAUGUACAAUUAAAAAGGAGCAGGAUAAUGGGAUGGCAGGCAGCAAAUGAAUGCUGACUUGUGUCUGAGCUGAGAGAAUGGCAGGUGAACAGAUACUACAUUUCUGGAUCUUAUUUCCUCGUUGCCAAUGAUUAGCUUGAUGGUCUUUAAUCAUUACAGAGUUGCGUCCUUGACCAACCAUGGGUCCCUGACCAGAAAGUAGUUGCUAGCCCGGUGAUAUGAUUGGCAUGUCAUUUGGUGUCUGUACGGGGUUAUGAAUACAUUAAACUGAGCAUCAAAUGAUAGAAUCCAGCUAUUGCUGAGUAGAUACCGGUGGAAAGAGCCCACAACAGCUUCUGUAAGGACUGUGUUCUAUGGGGAGAAUGGAAUAUUGGCUGGACUAAUCUAUAUUGAUGAUUCAUCAAAUAUAAUUAUAUGAUACUCUGUUUAAUGACCAAGUAGUUCUUGGAUUAUCUUAUGUCGGAUCCAUCGAUUAAGAGCUUUUCUAGGCCCUACAACAGUGGGCCUGACUUUGCAGCCGAUCGUAAUGAUUGUGGACCUGGGCUUUUUGUGAAUCCUGUUGUUGUGAUUCUGGGCCUCAAGUUUAUAGGAGCAAGGAAUACA